CAUUUCUUCAACUUGCACCGGCAAUCUGUUUUAACAUAAUUUACACAUUUACACAUUUUAGAGAGAAAAGCACGCGAAGACUUAAUUCCAGAAAGCAGCAGCACCGGAGCUCGCCUCUGCGCAUUAGCUUUGCAAAACACGUCGUCGUCGGGGUCUCUGCAGAAGCCCUGCACAAAGCAGAGGCCUGUGAGGAAUCAGCCUUGAGGCGUCUUCGAAGCUUGUCACUUUCUAACCAGAUUCUCUGGAUGGAGAGGCUACAGCCUUAUUUGACCCACCCUUGGUGAGGUGUUUGGGGUCAGCGUGUCUGAGUCCUGGGGUCCAUCACCAUUCAGGACCUUGUGACUUAGUAGCAACUGCAGUCACUGGGAAUUCCACUCGAGACCUGGGAAAGUACAUUCUGUGUGGACCUUCCGUGGAGAACAGCUUCUGUGAAGCACCUCUGGCCAUCAUGGUUUGUGAGGCUCGGCUGAAACAGAACCUCUGUUUCUUGGACAGAGGCACUCAGAAUGGUCCAGGCUCUGGGCCAGUCUCACCUCUUCCUUCCUGCCUUCCAAAGAUGAGUCGGCCCCUGGGACUCCAUCUGUGUCUCUACAUGGAGAAUCCCCUCUAGGCAGUGGAGCAGACUGGAGAUCUGUUAAGAUUUGCCAUGAGCUGGCUCACAGAGGGAGACUGGAAUCUCUCGCAGAAAUCUUCACGAGAUGAGAUAGCUAGACUCCGUUAACUCUGAAAACACAAAGCCUGGGGGUAAAUACACACAGACAAAAGCAACAUGUAUUGACUGCCUCCUCCUUGUGGAACCUUCUAUCAAAGACCAAGGAUACUUUCCCAGGAGCCCUGGAUUGUCUUUGGCAAGUGCUUCUGCAUGACAAUGCUUUUCUUAUGAUUUUCACACUGUCAUCGGGUUGUGGGAGGGGCUUUCAAGUUUCCCCUCUGCCAUUCUUCAUGUUCAGUUGAGAGUUCUCUUAUGGCGAAGUUUCAAAAAGACCGUUUUAAUCCAGGUUCUCAAACACCUCUUCAACACUUCUUGAACUUGGAGUGUCUUGCCAAAUACCAGUGAACCACCUGCCCUUUCCUUGGCUGGAAUAAGGAGCCAGGAAGUAUGAGGUCAUGAAGACUCCACUCUUAAAGAAGCUGUGGGUUACAUACAGAUUCUAGCAUGAUUGCCUUCAGUCCCAUGCAAUGAGUGAGAAUGGAGACAUUCCUCGUCGAGUGGAAAGAUGCUACUGACUACAUCCCAAAUGCUGUGAGGACUGAGCGUGUCCAUAGGAAACUCAGAGUAUGGGCCACCUCGGAAGCGCAGAACCAAGAGGAGGAAGAAGGACACAGGAGUCAAGCCCCUGUCCGUGCAGGUGGGAGAGGACUCGUGUUCAGAGAGGGCAACAGCCAUGCCAGCUGGCCUGUUGAGGGGAGUUUAGUCAAGACCUCUGAUUCUCUGUGUGACAUUGAAGGUUAUUGGGAGUGUGUGUUCGUGAAUGCCUAAGGGGAGCAAUAUGGGGGUGGGGGGAUGAGGAGGGAAGACAUACAUCCCAGCCUGGGUAGAUUUCUCAUUAGGAUAGCAUUCAGCUAUUCUUUCGAGCAGGUCUAAGAAAGGAAGGCUUCGUCUCUGGGCCUGUUUGGAAGUGUACGGUAGCAGAUGAGCUCCCUUGCAUCCCGUGACUGCUUCACUCCCCAUCCGGCACUAGCUAUCUGUGUUACCCUAUCUUUCCCCGAAGCCUUUAGCAAUCGCUAACAAUCCUAUUUACUCUGUGUACCAGACAAACACAGUUACCGCUCCCAUCUCACUAUUUUUAUCUAAUAUUGAAAUUUCUCUCCCUAAGAGCAGCCCGGAAUACAUUAUGGUAUCUGCUGAAUAAAUGAUGUGCGUAAUACGCUGUGCAGAGAUGGUAUUUAUGAAGCCGAAAUGAAGGAAUCACUCAGUUCUCCUUUGAAAGGAAAUUCAAUUGGAUACGUUUUCAAGAAAGCAAAGACAUGCUUUCUUUGAAAUCUCCAUGCAAACUUUCAGAAUCAAAGCUGGCUUCUUCCUCCCCGUUGGCGACACAGACUGCCCUGCCCUGCCAUGCUCAGCGUGUUGGCUCUGCAUAGCUUGAGGUUGUCACCCGGUUCCAGGGUGAGGUAUACCCCUGUAGGAGCAUCACUGCUUUCCUUUUUAAGUAUGACAUGUCAAAUGCGUUUUGUGAUAUCUGAGACACUGCACAUCCAUGUCUCCAAAUGUCUUAGACAGAGGUAGGUUGAGAGCACCCCCAUUUUGCCCAGGCAACACUUAACAACAUGCUACCUUUUUUCCCAGUGGUUUUACCAGCUAUGUGGCAUACUUCAUAGUCCUCAGGUAACCUGAUUUUGCCCAUGUGCUUUGUGCGGGUACCCUUGAUGGAGGUAGUAGUGAUGUCACUCAAACUACUCUAACGCAACCUUCUCUAAAGUGCUCUGUCAACCUCCCCCUCUCCCAUGACACUUUGGGGGAACUGAGGGCGGGACAGGGAAGAAGGCAGGCUGCUUAAAGUCCCGUGAGGACUGAGGUGGAACAGAAGUUCAGAGCAGGCCUGGGGUGUCUGAUGGUAAGCUCAGGGAUGAGCCUAGUGCCUGGCUUCCUCCAGGGGCAUGGCCCCCGGGGUUUGGAGUCCAGAAAUAAAAUGUAGCAGUCUUUCUUUUCCUGCCGUUAAACUUCAGAGUGGAGUUCAAGGCAGAAUGGGGAGGGCUCUUCCUCUCAGUCCUCACCCUGCGACUCUGCCUCCGCGUCCCAUGUCCCAUCUCCCCUUAAAGACAGAAACCAGGAAUGUGAUUAGGACUGAAACAGCAGAAGGAGAAGUCUCUGGGGACUCUAACGGGAACUGACUCCUUCCCUGACUGAGGAGGGGAGAUCUGAGGAUAUUCUGAAGGCAAGCCAAUUCCCCGGGACCACCGAGCUCUCUGAGGGGUGAAGCCCAGGACUGGGACUUCCUGUCUCUUCCUCAAAGUGGCCCUCCCAUUAUGGCAACAGGGUGCUUCUGGGUGAGUCUCCAACAGGUCAAGAGAAGGUAGCUCAACCCGUUAGCAGUGAGCUUCUCAUCCAACCUGCUGGGUGUGACUCUGAACUCUAGUCCAACACACAGCAGUAGGCCAACAUCAAGGAGAGAAAACAGGUUUGGGUUCCAACAUCCCGGGGCCUGCUGAACAACACAUACCAGGACAGCAUCGUCGAAAACAAGAGUUCUUCAGACAGGUACAGAGAGGCCGGUGCCAAGGAAACUCACACACAUUCUUGAAAACUCUGAUUUCAAUCUUACAUUUUUUUUUCUCUUGCAUCAGAAUUUGCUGACAUACGUGCAGGACUAAUGUGUAUGAGGAAUAUCCUUAAACAAUAAAAUAUGAGAAGCUGACCCUUUUAUUAGUCCAAAGAACAGCUCCAUUGAGAAGAAUGUAAUGGCUCAGGGUCUGUGGGUCACACUUCAGGUGACAAACAGUUUAGUGAUUGGCAAACUGUGUAUGAUCUGAGUCCGUUCCACAGAUGAAAACUCAUUCCAGGUGUAGACAGCUGUGUUUUUGAUGUGUUGCUGACUGCUGUCUAUACCCACAAAGGGCAGGAACAGGUAGUGAAGUAGAGACUACAUUGCUUAUAAAGAAGAAAUUAUCCACAGUAUGGCCCUUUCCAGAGGUGUGGUCUAGUAGAGAAUAAUUCAGUGGCCUUCUUUUUCCUUAAAACAAGCUGACGACUUCAGUUUGAACCACACAUGUUGGAUAGAAUGAGUCCCUCUCUUCAUAAGAGUAUAAAGGGCUGUGGCCAUUGGCAUGAUGACUAUAGAUACAUUUUUCAGAAGUGUAAUUAAGGUGAAUCCAAUUUCUCAUUUGCUAGAGUUACACAGGACAGGACACACAUGUAAAUAUGUUCUUCCUGUGGCCUCUAUGAUAGAGAUCUCUGGAGACCAGGUGUAGGGGUAGUUAUGAGGCCAGGCAAUGGACUUCUCCACUGAAUGCUGAGUGGAAGGCACAGCAACAGAGUGGCAUCAGCAUUUCAGGCCCCUCUGACUUUCCUAGGGCACAGGGCCAGCCACCGAUCUUCUGGCCCUGUGUUUACCAUAAAUUUUGAUUUAGCUGUACACUCGUUAAUAUAUUUUUCUUUUGUUGCAGAUUGUUUUCCAGUGAACUGAAUAUUAAAAACAUAUUACAGAAAGAAACAGCCCGCCCGGCUGAUUGUUUCUUUGCAAAAAUGGGUGUGAUGAUGAGCGAAUGCUUGCAUUUACAUAAACAAUCAGUUGACGGGCCCUUGCUGAAUGUGAGCAUUCAUGUUUGAUGGCAUCCUUAUUGCCGCUAUCAAUAACAAUAUUGUCCUUGUUGGGUAAUAAACAUCA